UACGUAGGGGGCAAGCGUUGUCCGGAUUUAUUGGGCGUAAAGAGCGUGUAGGCGGCCAGGUAGGUCUGCUGUGAAAACUCGAGGCUUAACCUCGAGCUGUCGGCGGAAACCAUCUGGCUAGAGUCCGGAAGAGGCGAGUGGAAUUCCUGGUGUAGCGGUGAAAUGCGCAGAUAUCAGGAGGAACACCGGUGGCGAAGGCGGUCCUUCUGGGACAGUUGACCUGACGCUG
rnacentral:rRNA from 1 species